GCUGUGUAAACAAGCCCCAUUCCCAGUACUGGGGCGUUGCUAGCCCUCCUUAGAGAGGGCGAGGGAGAGGAGGAUGCUGUGCUUGGAAAGCGGCUCUUGAGGAGAGCUGGAAUCUCGGCAAAGCGUCCACUCCCUCCCCUCCCUUUUCCUCUCACCUCUAGUGUUCCCACCAGCCCCGGGGAGGAGACAAAGGACGUGGGAGGGCAGCAGCAUGCAGAGGCCUGCCUUUGACGCCUAGGAGUUGAACACCAGACAGAAAAUGAAAUCUAAACAUUUACCCAGAGCCCUGGGCUAGAAAUGUGCCAACCUGACCCUGGAAAACAAAUAACCCGCGUCACCGCCACACCUGCUGCAGGCCCCAGAUGCCACAGAUGGAGUUUCGCUCUUGUCGCCCAGGCUGGAGUGCAGUGGUAUGAUCUUGGCUCAUUGCAACUUCUGCCUCCCAGAUCAAGUGAUUUUCCCACCUCAGCCUCCCAAGUAGCUGGGAUUACAGGUACAGGACAGUGGUGAGCUCUGGAGCCAAGACACCCACCAGUCAGAAGAGCCAGUCCACUCUACAGAGAUGAAGGAUCCCCUGAACCUUUGGGUCUUCCACGUUGUAUGGGGGAAUGAUUCCUUUCUUCUCCUUUGACAUGAAAGCAGUAGGUUAAGUCCUUAGAGCAGAGAGAGAAAGAGACCAUAAAAUAUUAUUCCUGGAAAGAAACUCAGAGAUAAUUAAUUGGAACUGCAUUUGCCACAUUCUAAAUAACAGGAUUCCUUCCAUUGCUAAAACACUCCGUAUGGUAGGAGCUGUACCUUUAUUUGCUCUAGACUAGAGCUGUCUAGUAGAAAUACAUUGUGAGCCAUACAUGUAACUUUAAAUUUUCUAGUAGCCACAUUAAAAAAAAAAAAAAGGAAACAGGUGGUUCUCCAUACAAGAUAUACAAAUAGUCACUAUGCACAUGAAAAGAUGCUCGAUCCAUCACUAAUCAUUAAGAAAAUGCAAAUAAAUACCGUAAUGAGAUACUGCUUCAUAA